rnacentral:rRNA from 1 species
UAAGGAAUAUUGGACAAUGCCCGCAAGGGUGAUCCAGCCAUGCCGCGUGCAGGAAGAAGGCGCUAUGCGUCGUAAACUGCUUUUGCACCAGGGAAAACCCUUCUACGUGUAGAAGGCUGAUAGUAUGGUGAGAAUAAGCAUCGGCUAACUUCGUGCCAGCAGCCGCGGUAAGACGAAGGAUGCAAGCGUUAUCCGGAUUCAUUGGGUUUAAAGGGAGCGUAGGUGGCUUUGUAAGUCAGUGGUGAAAUCUUCUCGCUUAACGAGAAAACUGCCAUUGAUACUGCAGAGCUUGAGUACAGUUGCCGUUGGCGGAAUAUGACAUGUAGUGGUGAAAUACAUAGAGAUGUCAUAGAACACCGAUUGCGAAGGCAGCUAACGAAACUGUAACUGACACUGAGGCUCGAAAGUGCGGGGAUCAAACAGGAUUAGAUACCCCUGUAGUCC